GUAGGUGGCAAGCGUUGUCCGGAUUUAUUGGGGCGUAAAGCGAGCGCAGGCGGUUUCUUAAGUCUGAUGUGAAAGCCCCCCGGCUCAACCGGGGGGAGGGGUCAUUGGAAACUGGGAGACUUGAGUGCAGAAGAGGAGAGUGGAAUUCCAUGUGUAGCGGUGAAAUGCGUAGAUAUAUGGAGGAACACCAGUGGCGAAGGCGGCUCUCUGGUCUGUAACUGACGCUGAGGCUCGAAAGCGUGGGGAGCGAACAGGAUUAGAUACCCUGGUAGUCCACGCCGUAAACGAUGAGUGCUAAGUGUUGGAGGGUUUCCGCCCUUCAGUGCUGCAGCAAACGCAUUAAGCACUCCGCCUGGGGAGUACGACCGCAAGGUUG
rnacentral:rRNA from 1 species